AGUGCGUGUGCGGAACGGCUUUGGCUCGGGAUUAGGGAGAGAGUGGCGACACGUGCUCUCUGGUGUCCUAGGGGAUGUGUGCCCUCGCCCCCGACGGGUGGCCGUCCCUCGGCCCGCAGGGUGAUGCUGGCCCGCGGCGCCGGUUCCCGCCCCGGGGCGGGAACGAAGCUCUGGGGGCCCGGACUUCAGGGACCGCCCCCCGCAUAGCAACUGCGGCUUGGACGGAGGAGACAAGAAUGUAGGCACCAAAAUCGGGGUUUUUCUCAGACAGUAAGAGCUCUCCAGACCCCGGCGAUUGGAUGAAGGCAUGCAACCUUUCUUUGCUCCUUCUUGUCGGUGAGCGUAUUCGGAGUGACCUCAGUUUGGGGGAUCCAGCACACAGAUGGAGAAGUG